GGGGAUGACAGGUUUUGACAGCGUGUAGAGGUGGUGUGUAAGCAUGCAGAGCAAUGAUGGCUACGCUCUAUAAUCAGGGACAUCGCAAAUUUAAAUGGCGAAAACAACUACGCUCUCGCUGCCUGAUUGAAGUACAGUAGAUCACGCUUUAUCUGCGCCACAGUGGCGUAGACGAGACAUCGCCCGAUUGUCAUUUUCCCGAGACUAAUCGAUAUGGCGGUGCAGUUAAAUCGGGGAUAGGAGGCCAAGUGCUCCGCGAGGCCCCCGAAAUUCAAGGAGCUAAGCGCCGGGUUGGGCGUUUCCACCCUGCCCGUCGACGAAAACCAACUGGAAACUAAGCAUGUAGAAAGCUCAUUAGUUCCACGUUUGGACGAGGGUUCAAGCCCCUCCAUCUCCACU
rnacentral:tmRNA from 1 species